rnacentral:rRNA from 1 species
UAAGCGUGCGCAGGCGGUUUUGUAAGUCUGACGUGAAAUCCCCGGGCUCAACCUGGGAAUUGCGUUGGAGACUGCAAGGCUAGAAUCUGGCAGAGGGGGGUAGAAUUCCACGUGUAGCAGUGAAAUGCGUAGAGAUGUGGAGGAACACCGAUGGCGAAGGCAGCCCCCUGGGUCAAGAUUGACGCUCAUGCACGAAAGCGUGGGGAGCAAACAGGAUUAGAUACCCCUGU